rnacentral:rRNA from 1 species
GACGAACGCUGGCGGCGUGCCUAAUACAUGCAAGUAGAACGCAGUUGCGAACGGGUGAGUAACGCGUAGGUAACUUCCUCAUAGCGGGGGAUAACUAUUGGAAACGAUAGCUAAUACCGCAUACUUUGAGAUGGACCUUCGUUGUAUUAGCUAGUUGGUGAGGUAAAGGCUCACCAAGGCGACGAUACAUAGCCGACCUGAGAGGGUGGUCGGCCACACUGGGAAUGGGAAACGGGCCAGACUCCUACGGGAGGCAGCAGUAGGGAAUCUUGGGCAAUGGACGGAAGGCUGAACGAGGAACGCCGCGGGAGUGAAGAAGGUUUUCGGAUCGGAAAGCUAUGUUGUUAGAGAAGCGGUAACUAGCCAGAAAGGGACGGCUAACUACGUGCCAGCCGCCGCGGUAAUAC